UACAGAGGGGGCAAGCGUUGUCCGGAAUCAUUGGGCGUAAAGAGCGCGUAGGCGGCCCGGUAAGUCCGUUGUGAAAGUCAAAGGCUCAACCUUUGAAAGCCGAUGGAUACUGCCGGGCUAGAGUCCGGAAGAGGCGAGUGGAAUUCCUGGUGUAGCGGUGGAAUGCGCAGAUAUCAGGAGGAACACCGAUAGCGAAGGCAGCUCGCUGGGACGGUACUGACGCUGAGGCGCGAAAGCGUGGGGAGCGAACAGG
rnacentral:rRNA from 1 species